UACGUAGGGGGCAAGCGUUGUCCGGAAUCAUUGGGCGUAAAGCGCGCGUAGGCGGCCCGGUAAGUCCGUUGUGAAAGUCAAAGGCUCAACCUUUGAACGCCGAUGGAUACUGCCGGGCUAGAGUCCGGAAGAGGCGAGUGGAAUCCUGGUGUAGCGGUGGAAUGCGCAGAUAUCAGGAGGAACACCAAUAGCGAAGGCAGCUCGCUGGGACGGUACUGACGCUGAGGCGACGAAGAACGUGGGGAGCAAACAGG
rnacentral:rRNA from 1 species